AGAAAACGGGCUCACUGCAGCUAACAGCCUCACCCCUUGGGCUAGGAAGCCACGGAAGCAAAACCUCCGCCCCGGCCUGAAAGCAACCGGGAGACCGCGGAACCACUGCCACCGACUCAGCCCUGCCCAGCAGGGGCCCGCCCAGGGGCCACUCCCCAAGGGAGGCAGCCAGUCACUCGCCCGCCCUUCCGGGCCCACUCCCGAGGGGACGGUCUCCCGCCCGCCCUCACACACAGCUAGCUCUUCAGGCCAGGCCCCCAGGGUUUCGUCCACCUCUCACCUUUGACGACGCGAAUGAAGAAUGAGGAGGUGCUGCGAUCGAACGACUGCGAGGAAACACACCCGCUCUCAUGGCAUUCCCAGUAAACUGAGAAGACGUGAUUAAACCUCAGGAUCUCCUACUAAUAGAGAAAUGUAUAACGAUUUAGCUACCAGAUCUGAAUACUGAAGGGUUGGUAGGGGACCAGAGAAUAGAGGAAGCAUUGUAGGUUCUAGAGUGGAGAAGGGACCAUCCAAAAUGGAGUUUGAAAGAGAAUUCUGGCCUUUGUGUUUAGAGUCUGGAAUUGUCAAGAGUCUGAAAGCACAGAAUAAGACUGCAGCUAGAGCAAUUUAGGCGCCAUAGUUUGUCAAAACAGGUAAGGGGAAUAAAGGGGAUGACACCAAGAGAUGUGCAAAGAAUCUGAAGAAUUCACCUGAAAAGGAUACAACCUCCUCCUGGAAGGCAGAGGAGUAAAUAGGGAAUUGGAAAUUAAUUCCUUAUUUCUGCACAUGCACAGAAUCUGGGCCCAGGUGACUUAUGGAACCUUUAUAGAGACCACGGUGACUGACACUCAUGGGAAAGGGGGUAGAGGGGCAAGAACUGACUGUUCAUCAAAAAUUAUUAGAUGAGUGUGUCCACGACACCAGGAGAUAUGUUGAAUCAUGGACAGGGACCAGCAUAUCCACUAAGCUCUAUAUAUCUUGAUGGUGCAGGAUCCAAGUGGGAUGGAACAACCAAUUCCUGCCCAUCCUCCUGCUCAAUAAUACAUGUGCUCAGAAUCUGUUCAUAAUGCAUGGUGAGACGGGAUCUCACUGUGUUGCCCAGGCUGGUCUCGAACUGCUGGACUCAAGUCAUCCUCCCAUCUUGGCCUCCCAAAGUGCUGGAAUUACAGUGGACAACCUUCAAUGCACUGGUACUUUGUACCCUGACCUCUACUGUGAUGAACACUCAACUUGGGCAAGGAAGUGAAAUUCUCCAAAGUGCAGUGGGUUCUGACCCAAUCAGCAGCCUUUGCUUCUCAGAUUCCUCUCAAGGCUUUAUGACUCUUCUCACCCCAGGAAACCCUACAACACGCACGGCCUUUCAGAACUGCUACAUGGAAUGGACAUUCCUCUGGGCUCCAGCUGAAUGUUUGUAAAUAAAAUAAUGACUGCGUGUCCUUAUUUUUGCUGAGUACACAGGGCCUUUCCUCACAUUACAACCUUCACUUUCUCCCUGCUUCUUCACCUGCACUGUAUUUUUGCUUAGCAAGGAGGAGGGUGCUCUGAAUAGAUGGACCCUGAUUCUACUUACAAAACUGUGGGAAGAAACCGGAGCUUCCUCCCUCUCUGAGACAACGGUGCCACUGAGACUGCGUGAGAUGCGACGUAAAUUCUCUGCACUGUACUGCUCAUCCUCCCCACACUCCCUGCUGAGGCCUCGGCAAGGUGUAGCCUUCAAACACACAGACACAUACAGGCAGACACAUAAUACCAGACUUAUGGUUUUCCCACAGACAGUAUCCUCAGGGUAUGGGAAAGAGUAGGGGAAGACUCAGUAGUAAUAGACACCUGAAUUAGAUGUAUUGGUAAGAUAGUGGCCAUGUAACAAUCUCCUCUAAUUCAAAAGAAGCCCAAUCAUAGACCUUAUUUUCUUCUGAUAGCCCCAUAUCACCAUGCCUCUGCCUUAUCAUCAUCCCUGUCACAUCUCUCCAUAAUUCCUUCCCCAACACACCACCCCAGGCCCAGCACCUUAGCACCUGAGGCUGCUACCUGAGAAGUACGCACUGUUCUGGCUUCAUGGAGACCAUGCUCCAUUUCUGCUGUUGAAGUCUUUGAGAGACCAGGAUCAUGGGCUGAGUGCAACCUCCUCCCCAUGCCAUCUGCAGAGCCUGAAGAGGAAAACACAAAUACAAGUUGAGGCCAUCUCUUCCCCUAGGGCCUAACCUCUAAGCCUAGCAGCACAAACUCAGGAGCUGUUGUUUCAUUUAAUAAUAAAUAUGCAUCCUUGAAUUCAACGGAGGAACAUGCUCCUGGAAUUUAGAAGCAAGAGGGGCUGGGCGCGGUGGCUCACACCUGUAAUCCCAGCACUUUGGGAGGCCAACACGGGCAGAUCACGAGGUCAGGAGAUCGAGACCACCCUGGCUAACAUGGUAA
ensembl:lncRNA PPP3CB-AS1 PPP3CB antisense RNA 1 (head to head)